rnacentral:ribozyme from 1 species
AAAAGAAAAAAAAUCCAAACUGCAAAGAGGCAGACACAGUUUUCUGCAUUUCGUGUCUUAUCUGCCUCUUUAUUUUCAUGUUCUCUUUUCCUAUCCA